rnacentral:tRNA from 1 species
AAGAAAUUAGCUCAAUGGUAGAGCGGCUGUUUUACACACAGAUUGUUGGGAGUUCGAAUCUCUUAUUUCUUAC